rnacentral:rRNA from 1 species
GACGAACGCUGGCGGCGUGCUUAACACAUGCAGGUCGAACGGAAAGGCCCUGCUUUUGUGGGGUGCUCGAGUGGCGAACGGGUGAGUAACACGUGAGUAACCUGCCCUUGACUUUGGGAUAACUUCAGGAAACUGGGGCUAAUACCGGAUAGGAGCUCCUGCUGCAUGGUGGGGGUUGGAAAGUUUCGGCGGUUGGGGAUGGACUCGCGGCUUAUCAGCUUGUUGGUGGGGUAGUGGCUUACCAAGGCUUUGACGGGUAGCCGGCCUGAGAGGGUGACCGGGGCAAUGGGGGGUAAGAUACGGCGCAGGGGGGAACGGGGGAGAGGGGGGGGGAGGAGGGGAAAGUGGGACGGAGUGUGGUGCAGCGGAGCCGCGGGCGGAAAGACGGCGGUGGGGAUAUGGAAAGCAUAAGCCUGUGAGGACGAGGGGGUGACGGUAAUGGAAAAAGAAGGAACGGCUAACUAGGUG